rnacentral:rRNA from 1 species
AGUGAACGCUGGCGGUAGGCCUAACACAUGCAAGUCGAACGGCAGCACAGUAAGAGCUUGCUCUUACGGGUGGCGAGUGGCGGACGGGUGAGGAAUACAUCGGAAUCUACUUUUUCGGGGGGGAUAACGUAGGGAAACUUACGCUACUACCGCAUACGACCUACGGGUGAAAGCAGGGGAUCUUCGGACCUUGCGCGAUUGAAUGAGCCGAUGUCGGAUUAGCUUGUUGGCGGGGUAAAGGCACACCAAGGCGACGAUCCGUAGCUGGUCUGAGAGGAUGAUCGGCCACACUGGAACUGAGACACGGUCCAGACUCCUACGGGAGGCAGCAGUAGGGAAUCUUGGGCAAAGGGCGCAAGCCUGACCCAGCCACGCCGCGUGGGUGAAGAAGGCCUUCGGGUCGUAAAGCCCUGUUGUUGGGGAAGAAAAACAGUAGGUUAAUACCCCGCUGUUCUGACGGUACCCAAAGAAUAAGCACCGGCUAACUACGUG